GGAAGAUCAGAACGACUUUAUCUAAUCCAGGUGACCGAAAAAAUUGGUUGAAACAAGUGCUGUCAAAUUCUUUAUCAGAGAGCAACAUGUAUGCUCCUCACUCAAAAGCGCUUCAUUCAUCAGAAGCAAAACUAACAAAUCGUUUUGAUAUAAAACAAGAACAUGUCCCACAACAUAUUAAACACAGUGAAUUAUCAACAGCCCGCAUUGAAACUUUAAAAUCUACUGAUCAAUCUGUGAAUGUAUAUUCAGCGAGGGCACAUAUAUACCCGC